AUACUUACCUGGCAUGGGGAGAAUCAGUGGUCAUGAUGGCCGAUCUCCCAGGAUGAGGCCAUCCCAUUGCACUUCGGUUGUGCUGAUGCCUGCAAUGUCCCCAAAUGCGGGAUAUUCGACUGCAAAAUUUGUGGUGGUGGGGUUACUGUUUUUGCGCUAAA